rnacentral:rRNA from 1 species
AUUGAACGCUGGCGGCAUGCUUUACACAUGCAAGUCGAACGGCAGCGCGGGCUUCGGCCUGGCGGCGAGUGGCGAACGGGUGAGUAAUGCAUCGGAACGUGCCCAGUAGUGGGGGAUAGCCCGGCGAAAGCCGGAUUAAUACCGCAUACGACCUGAGGGUGAAAGCGGGGGACCGAAAGGCCUCGCGCUAUUGGAGCGGCCGAUGUCGGAUUAGCUAGUUGGUGGGGUAAAGGCUUACCAAGGCGACGAUCCGUAGCUGGUCUGAGAGGACGACCAGCCACACUGGGACUGAGACACGGCCCAGACUCCUACGGGAGGCAGCAGUUGGGAAUUUUUGGCAAUGGGGGCAACCCUGAUCCAGCCAUGCCGCGUGCGGGAAGAAGGCCUUCGGGUUGUAAACCGCUUUUGUUCGGGAAGAAAUCCUCUGGGCUAAUACCCCGGGGGGAUGACGGUACCGGAAGAAUAAGCACCGGCUAACUACGUG